rnacentral:rRNA from 1 species
UUCUACCUACGGGGGGCAGCAGUGAGGAAUAUUGGUCAAUGGUCGGGAGACUGAACCAGCCAAGCCGCGUGAGGGAUGAGGGUACAGAGUAUCGUAAACCUCUUUUGUCAGGGAACAAAGGCGGGGACGCGUCCCCGGAUGAGUGUACCUGAAGAAAAAGCAUCGGCUAACUCCGUGCCAGCAGCCGCGGUAAUACGGAGGAUGCGAGCGUUAUCCGGAUUUAUUGGGUUUAAAGGGUGCGCAGGCGGUCUGUUAAGUCAGCGGUCUAAGCC